rnacentral:rRNA from 1 species
UAUUGGACAAUGGGGGGAACCCUGAUCCAGCGACGCCGCGUGAGUGAAGAAGUAUCUCGGUAUGUAAAGCUCUAUCAGCAGGGAAGAAAGAAAUGACGGUACCUGAGUAAGAAGCCCCGGCUAACUACGUGCCAGCAGCCGCGGUAAUACGUAGGGGGCAAGCGUUAUCCGGAUUUACUGGGUGUAAAGGGAGCGUAGACGGCGCGGCAAGUCUGAAGUGAAAGGCAGGGGCUUAACCCCUGAACUGCUUUGGAAACUGCCAUGCUAGAGUGCUGGAGAGGUAAGUGGAAUUCCUAGUGUAGCGGUGAAAUGCGUAGAUAUUAGGAGGAACACCAGUGGCGAAGGCGGCUUACUGGACAGUAACUGACGUUGAGGCUCGAAAGCGUGGGGAGCAAACAGG